AUGGCUCGCAAGAAGGUGGCUCUCCGGUACAUCCGUAAUGACUCGGCGCGGCAAAACACCUUGAAGAAACGCAGCAAGAACCUGAUGAAGAAGGCCGGUGAGGUGGCCACCUUGUGCAACGCCAAGGCCUGCGUGCUGGUGUAUGGCGAGGGCGGAACGGUGCCGGAGGUGUUCCCAUCCCAUGCUGAGGCGGUGGCUAUCCUGAAUAGGUUUAAGAGCAUGCCAGAGGUGGCGCGGCUAAAGAAGACGAUGGACCAGGAAAGUGUCCUUACUCAGCGCGUCGCAAAGCUCCGAGACCAGGUCCAGAAGACUAGGUGCGAGCGCCAAGACCGUGAGACCAAGUUUCUCCUGCAUGACGCCAUGGUCAGCGGCCGCCUCCCUGGAAACAUCGAGGAGCUCACAACCAUGGGUUGGAAGUUGGAGUUAAUGCUCAAGAGCCUAGGCAAACGCAUCGCAAAAAUGAGCAGGUAG
rnacentral:rRNA from 1 species